rnacentral:rRNA from 1 species
GGCUAGGGGGCUGUCAUGGCUUACCAAACCGAUGCAAACUCCGAAUACCGGCUAAUUGAAUCACGGGAGACACACGGCGGGUGCUAACGUCCGUCGUGGAGAGGGAAACAACCCAGACCGCCAGCUAAGGUCCCCAAGUACUAGUUAAGUGGGAAACGAUGUGGGAAGGCAUAGACAGCCAGGAGGUUGGCUUAGAAGCAGCCACCCUUUAAAGAAAGCGUAAUAGCUCACUGGUCGAGUCGGCCUGCGCGGAAGAUGUAACGGGGCUAAAACUAGUCACCGAAGCUGCGGAUGUGCGCGAAGGCGCACGUGGUAGGGGAGCGUUCUGUAAGCUGAUGAAGGUGCAUUGAGAAGUGUGCUGGAGGUAUCAGAAGUGCGAAUGCUGACAUGAGUAACGAUAAUGUGGGUGAAAAGCCCACACGCCGGAAGUCCCAGGUUUCCUGCACGACGUUAAUCGGAGCAGGGUGAGUCGGCCCCUAAGGCGAGGCUGAAGAGCGUAGUCGAUGGGAACCAGGUUAAUAUUCCUGGACUUUUUAUAAGUGGUGAAGUGGGGACGAAGAAGGCUAGGUGAGCCAGGCGUUGGUUGUCCUGGUACUUGCAUGUAGGGGGGAAGACUUGGCAAAUCCGGUUUUCCAUAACUCUGAGGUGCGAAGUGGUUCUGACC